UACGUAGGGGGCAAGCGUUGUCCGGAAUCAUUGGGCGUAAAGCGCGUGUAGGCGGCUCGAUAAGUCUGCUGUGAAAGUCCAGGGCUCAACCCUGGAAAGCCGGUGGAAACUGUCGGGCUAGAGUCCGGAAGAGGCGAGUGGAAUUCCUGGUGUAGCGGUGAAAUGCGCAGAUAUCAGGAGGAACACCAAUGGCGAAGGCAGCUCGCUGGGACGGUACUGACGCUGAGAAGCGAAAGCGUGGGGAGCAAACAGG
rnacentral:rRNA from 1 species